UUUAUUUUAAAAAAAAAUCUUUUAAAAACAAAAGUGAACUUGUUUUGACAUAAAAAAAAAAGUUUUAUCUAUAUAUAACUGGAAUAUUGAAAUAUAUACAACAUUAACAAACUCUCCAAAAUUUGCCAUCACUUUUUAGGUCUCCUCAAAAUAUAAUAUACUGUCUCUCUUUGAAUUUGAAUUUGCGAUUGUUAAAGAAGAAAGAUACAACUCCUCUCAUCCAAGGUGAAAAAAAACAUGGAAAAUCCUCUUAUUGCGAUUGUGGUGGAAGAACCUUACUCCUCUAUUCCAAAUAAUCCAAGGAACAUGAUCAACAAUAGAGAUCGGAGGCUUGAGCAACUAGCUCGAACCACAUUGAUGUUAUCCUUGUUUUUGACUAUUGUUGUUACAUUGAAUACAUCAUCAUAUAUUGGUAAAUUCAUGGCCGAACAUGACACUAUCGUGAUGCUUUCACUCGUUGCUCUUGUUUUAUUUUUUCAAAUAGCAAUAUUUCGUAUUACACGAUAUCAUCUCUCGAACAACAACGACGACGACAACAUCGACAUCAAAAACGGUACAUUGCACAUUUUGGUGCUAUCAAGUGUAACAUCAAGUAUAGAAGUGAGCCUUAUUUCAUAUAUAGCAGCUAUCAUCACUUUUAUCUUAUGUUGCAUCACACUUACAUGGUUUGUUAUAGUUAACUCAAAAGAGGUGAGAGGUCUAAUGAAUUUCAUUAUACUAGUGACUUGGUUUACUAUUCUAUUCGGCCCUAUUUAUUUACUACCUUGGAUA